rnacentral:ncRNA from 1 species
ACAGAGGAACCUGAAAAUCUGCAAACAGAGUAAGGA